rnacentral:rRNA from 1 species
UACGUAGGGGGCGAGCGUUGUCCGGAUUUAUUGGGCGUAAAGAGCUCGUAGGCGGUUUGUCGCGUCGAAUGUGAAAACCCGGGGCUCAACCCCGGGCCUGCAUUCGAUACGGGCAGACUAGAGUUCGGUAGGGGAGUCUGGAAUUCCUGGUGUAGCGGUGAAAUGCGCAGAUAUCAGGAGGAACACCGGUGGCGAAGGCGGAUCUCUGGGCCUUACCUGACGCUGAGGCGCGAAAGCUAGGGGAGCGAACAGG